UACGGGGGGGGCAAGCGUUGUUCGGAAUUACUGGGCGUAAAGGGCUCGUAGGUGGCCAACUAAGUCAUACGUGAAAUCCCUCGGCUUAACCGGGGAACUGCGUCUGAUACUGGAUGGCUUGAGGUUGGGAGAGGGAUGCGGAAUUCCAGGUGUAGCGGUGAAAUGCGUAGAUAUCUGGAGGAACACCGGUGGCGAAGGCGGCAUCCUGGACCAAUACUGACACUGAGGAGCGAAAGCCAGGGGAGCAAACGGG
rnacentral:rRNA from 1 species